UCAGGUGCAUUCUGGGUGUAGCGGGAGCAGUUAUCAUCGACAUGAGGCACACUGUAACCAUUUUCUCCUGCUGUUAAAAGCCUGAGCCUCUGCCAGUCAUGGAGGUUAACUGCAUCAUGGAUGAAGAUGGAAAUAAUGCCACAUAACUGGGCAUGGAUCAUAUCACAACCGCAGUGUUAAAAGGGGAUCUCAUCCGUUUGCCAAAAGAAGAAGAAGAUUAUGGAUCCAGGCCAUUAAAAGGGCGGAUUGGGGUCCCGAAGGUCCUAAAGGCGGCAAGAGUCUGUGCAGUGCCCACUUCGUGUCUGGCAUGUUUGUGUUUGCCAACAUGAGCUGGAUAAUGAAUUUUGUUCCAUCAUUGUUCAACACUGUUUCCAGAGACGCCUCAGGAAAGGUGGCAAGUUUUUUCCAAUUUUUUUUCCUUCAGCAGCCCUCAGUCCAAUGUUGGUUUCCUAAAUUGGCCCUCAGCUAUCAAAACUUUGAGAACCCCUGCUCUAGAUUCUUCUGAAGAUGAACGUAAGUUUGUGUCCAGAAAAGAGAUGCACCAACUCAACCUGCAGUACAACCAGCUCCGUGAUGACUAUGAAGCUCUGAAAAGAGAACUGUAUGCCACACAGGAAGAAAACAAACAUCUGAAGGAGCAACUUAAGCAGUCCAAGUUUGGGUUUGAUUCCACAAAAGACACAAAUGCUAAAAUUAUUUUUUUUAACUGGUUUACAGUCAUUACAAAUGUUUAUGUGGCUGCUGGAUAUUGCAAAAAGAAGCACACUUGUGCUUAAGGGUGGGUUAAGUUGGGAGAACCACCUCCUUUUGGUUCUAAUGAAAGUAAGACUUGGACUCACCAACAGAGACCUUGUCUACAGAUUUGGGCUUCCAUUCUCAACUGUAUCAAAAAUAUUAAGAGACUGGAUAUCCAACUUGUCCUCAAUAGUGAAACCUUUGAUAACGUGGCCUAGUAAGGAUGCAGUGAGAGCAAACAUGCCAAAGUGUUUAAACACAAAUGUAGGAAUUGUCGUUGUAUUAUAGACUGUACUGAGAUCUUUAUAGAAAGAACAUACAAUCUUAAAGCAAGGGCUGAAACCUGAUCAAAUUAUAAGCACCAAAACACAAUUAAAUAUCUAAUUGGAAUCACACCAGCAGGAGCUAUAUCUUUUUUGUCUAGUGGGUGGGGAGGUUGUGCCUCUAACAAGGUAAUAACUUUAGGUUCUGGCUUUUUGGGUAAACUUGAGCAUGGGGACGAGAUCCUUGCAGAUAGAGGUUUCCCUGUUAGAGAGGAAUUGGCCAGUGUAGGAGCAACAUUAAGAAUCCCAAGUUUCACGAAGGGGAAAUCUCAGUUGCCUGGUUCUUGUGUUGACACUUCACGUCAGUUGUCAAGAGUCUGCAUACAUGUGGAACGAGUUAUAGGUCAGCUUAAAACCUUUCAUAUACUGAACACUGUCAUAGCCAUCAGUCAAGUCGAUAUGCUAGAUGACAUUUUAACCAUAUGUGCUGGUCUUACGAACCUUAGGGGGACUGUGGUGGCCCGGCGAUAACUGUGUUUAGAGUCAAAGAGAUGUACAUUACUUUACAUGAUUGUGUCAGGCUUUUAAGGGCUAAUGAGGGCAAUGAUCACUCACUACUUGCUCUCUCUGUCUCUCACUUACUCAUCACUCUCUCUGUGUAGCCUGACUGUAAAAUUAAUAACAGUAAUGAAUAACUAAAUAAAUUUUAUCAGACAGGAUCAUUGAGAGUACAAAAAGGUUGAGAACCACACCACAGAGCUAUUUUAUUUAUGAUAAUGGCCAUCUUAGGACCAAGGUUAAGGGACCAUUUAGGAAAAACUCCUUUUAAAGCUGACACGCUAAAUAUUAACAUGCACUGACAAUGUUUUAAAUGCAAUAUAUUGAAGGCAACAUAAUAGAAUCAAAAUGAAAUGUACAUCUGUAACCAAAAGUGUUUUCAACAAUGACAGGUGUAAAUAAUUAAUACUAUAUGAACUCCUAACAUUUAUACCUGGAAAUGAUUUUUUUUCUUGCUUGUAAAUUUUGAGUAUUAUCAUUGUCUGCAGAACUCAAACUGCACUUGUUUCUGGGGAUGAACAAUAUAUAUCAGUGCUGUUUGUGAUUUUAUGUAAAUGUACAUUAAGGAAAAAAUAAAUGAACACUUGAAGAGUC